rfam:Gasterosteus aculeatus cont1.015154, whole genome shotgun sequence.
UUUAAAGUGUAAUGUAAGUCGCUUUGGAUAAAAGCGUCUGCUAAAUGACCCGUA